GCUAAAAAAUAUGAAUACGUGAACAGGACACUUUGAUAUUCAGAAUAUGAACCAACCUUGAUCAAAAUUGUAUGGGGAAGAACUAUCUCUGAAAGGAUUGACUAGCACACAAAUUUGGCCUCACUAAUCUAGCAAAGGUCAAAUAUACACCUCUUACCCCAUGUCAAAAACUAUGAUACCAAAUCACAAUGGAACAAACUCAACACUGAACUAAGACAUGCCUCUAUAUAUUUUUUUUCAUGUUUAUUUUUUUUCUGACAACUGAAGACCUGCUUGAAAGUACACAGGCAAAAUAAUGUGAGAACCAA